rnacentral:lncRNA from 1 species
AAAUUAUUAUUGAGAAAUUUUUUUUAUAAAAAUUAUUUCUGAUAAAAACUAUAUUUACAUUGCUAAUAAGAUUAUUAAUGACUAAAAUUUAGUUUUCACUGUAAAUAAUUUUUUUUAUACAAUUUUUUAAGAGGAAAUUUUUUUUUAGUGGAGAAUUUUUUAUUUCUUUGGUAAAAUUAUUGAUGAUAAAUUUUAGUUUUCAUUACUAAUAACAUUAUUGACGACAAAUCUUUUUCGUUGUCAAUAAUUUUUUAUUUUUUGAUGGGAAUUAUUAGCGAUGAAAAUUAUUUUUCAUUGCUAAUAAGAGAAUUAAUGAUGAA